AGAGUUUGAUCAUGGCUCAGGAUGAACGCUGGCGGCGUGCUUAACACAUGCAAGUCGAACGAGGAAUUUUAAAUGAGACUUCGGUGGAUUUUAGAAUUCUUAGUGGCGGACGGGUGAGUAACGCGUGGGCAACCUGCCCUGUACAGGGGGACAACAGCUGGAAACGGCUGCUAAUACCGCAUAAGCGCACAGCAUCGCAUGAUGCCGUGUGAAAAACUCCGGUGGUACAGGAUGGGCCCGCGUUGGAUUAGGUAGUUGGUGAGGUAACGGCCCACCAAGCCGACGAUCCAUAGCCGACCUGAGAGGGUGACCGGCCACAUUGGGACUGAGACACGGCCCAAACUCCUACGGGAGGCAGCAGUGGGGAAUAUUGCACAAUGGGGGAAACCCUGAUGCAGCGACGCCGCGUGGAGGAAGAAGGUCUUCGGAUUGUAAACUCCUGUUGUUGAGGAAGAUAAUGACGGUACUCAACAAGGAAGUGACGGCUAACUACGUGCCAGCAGCCGCGGUAAAACGUAGGUCACAAGCGUUGUCCGGAAUUACUGGGUGUAAAGGGAGCGCAGGCGGGAAGACAAGUUGGAAGUGAAAUCCAUGGGCUCAACCCAUGAACUGCUUUCAAAACUGUUUUUCUUGAGUAGUGCAGAGGUAGGCGGAAUUCCCGGUGUAGCGGUGGAAUGCGUAGAUAUCGGGAGGAACACCAGUGGCGAAGGCGGCCUACUGGGCACCAACUGACGCUGAGGCUCGAAAGUGUGGGUAGCAAACAGGAUUAGAUACCCUGGUAGUCCACACUGUAAACGAUGAUUACUAGGUGUUGGAGGAUUGACCCCUUCAGUGCCGCAGUUAACACAAUAAGUAAUCCACCUGGGGAGUACGACCGCAAGGUUGAAACUCAAAGGAAUUGACGGGGGCCCGCACAAGCAGUGGAGUAUGUGGUUUAAUUCGACGCAACGCGAAGAACCUUACCAAGUCUUGACAUCCAUCGACGACUAUAGAAAUAUAGUUUUCCUUCGGGGCGGUGAGACAGGUGGUGCAUGGUUGUCGUCAGCUCGUGUCGUGAGAUGUUGGGUUAAGUCCCGCAACGAGCGCAACCCUUAUGGUCAGUUACUACGCAAGAGGACUCUGGCCAGACUGCCGUUGACAAAACGGAGGAAGGUGGGGAUGACGUCAAAUCAUCAUGCCCUUUAUGACUUGGGCUACACACGUACUACAAUGGCGUUAAACAAAGAGAAGCAAGACCGCGAGGUGGAGCAAAACUCAGAAACAACGUCCCAGUUCGGACUGCAGGCUGCAACUCGCCUGCACGAAGUCGGAAUUGCUAGUAAUCGCAGAUCAGCAUGCUGCGGUGAAUACGUUCCCGGGCCUUGUACACACCGCCCGUCACACCAUGAGAGCCGGGGGGACCCGAAGUCGGUAGUCUAACCGCAAGGAGGACGCCGCCGAAGGUAAAACUGGUGAUUGGGGUGAAGUCGUAACAAGGUA
rnacentral:rRNA from 1 species